rfam:Dipodomys ordii contig_28800, whole genome shotgun sequence.
GGUGGCUCAGUGGUAGAGUGCUUGCCUUGCAUGCAAGAGGCCCUGGGUUCGAUUCCUUAGCACCA